rnacentral:tRNA from 1 species
GCCUGGAUGGCUCAGUGGUUUAGCGUCUGCCUUCAGCCUAGGACAUGAUCCUAGGGUCGUGGGAUAGAGUCCCACAUCAGGCU